CCUACGGGAGGCAGCAGUGAGGAAUAUUGGUCAAUGGACGAGAGUCUGAACCAGCCAAGUAGCGUGAAGGAUGACUGCCCUAUGGGUUGUAAACUUCUUUUAUAAAGGAAUAAAACGAGGCACGUGUGCCUUUUUGUAUGUACUUUAUGAAUAAGGAUCGGCUAACUCCGUGCCAGCAGCCGCGGUAAUACGGAGGAUCCGAGCGUUAUCCGGAUUUAUUGGGUUUAAAGGGAGCGUAGAUGGGUUGUUAAGUCAGUUGUGAAAGUUUGCGGCUCAACCGUAAAAUUGCAAUUGAUACUGGCAGUCUUGAGUACAGUGGAGGUAAGCGGAAUUCGUGGUGUAGCGGUGAAAUGCUUAGAUAUCACGAAGAACCCCGAUUGCGAAGGCAGCUUACUAAACUGUGACUGACAUUGAUGCUCGAAAGUGUGGGUAUCAAACAGGAUUAGAUACCCUUGUAGUC
rnacentral:rRNA from 1 species